UUAUUUGUCUAGGGGUCACCAGUCGUUGGAGACAAUAUGUCUCGUGCUAGCCUACAAGAUUAAAUUUCCUAAUAACUUUUUUCUCUUGCGGGGAAACCAUGAAAGCGCUAGUAUAAACAGAAUCUACGGAUUUUACGACGAGUGUAAAAGAAGGUAUAGCAUCAAACUGUGGAAAACCUUUACGGAUUGUUUCAACUGCCUACCAAUAGCUGCCUUAAUAGAGGGUACAAUAUUCUGUAUGCAUGGUGGCCUCUCACCGGAUUUACUUCAUCUAGAACAG